GGGAGUCAACAAACAAGGCGAGCAUCAUAGACAAGUGGAUAACAAAAAAAAAGGAAAAACAAAUAUCUUGUCCUUAUCAGGGUCGUGGGGUUGCUGGAGUCUAUCCCAGCUGCCAUAGGGUGAGAGGCAGGGUACUCCCUGGACAGGUCACCAAUUUGCCACAGGGUUCACACAGAGAGGCAGACAAGUAAUCACCAAUUAACCUAACCCCACUGAAUGCAUGUCUCUGGACUGUGGCAGGAAUUCAGAGUACACGGAGAGAACCCAUUCAGUUCACUGAAGGUUAGCCCAAAUCCUCACCCUUCCACCACCGUGCUUGACUGUCGGUACAAGGUGUUUGUGCUGAUAUGCUGUGUUUGGUUUUUACUGAAAGUAGCACUUACCUUUUUAGAGUUAAGAGGCUUCCUCCUAGUAACCCUUCCAAAUAAGCCAUACAGGACUUUUCUAUAUGUAUUGCCAUGAACUUCAACAUUUACUGUCCCAACUGAAGCCUGUAGAGUCUAGGAUGUAGUUGUUGGUAAUUUUAGUGUUUCUCUGAAGAUGCAUGGCCUGAUCUUGGGGUAAGAUUACUCCUGUGAGGAUUAACAGCUGCCUUAAAUGUCUUUGACUUGUGAAUAAUGUUUCCCUGUAGAAUGAUGGACUUUGGAAAUUGCCUUAUAACCUUCUCCAGAUUGAUUGGGACCUGAAUGUUCCAGGCAAGCAAACUCCCAAAAUUUGCUGAUGAUCAGUUAAUCUGGUGAAUUUGAUCAGUAGCUCAUGGCUGCUACUUAGCCUUUUAAGCAAUACGGGCGUACUUUCACAGACACAGUUCAUCUGAGGUUGUAUUUAUCCAAUUGUAAGUCCAGAUAGAUUUUCUCAAUUUCCCGAUAUAUAAAACCACAGAGUUUAAACUGGGUGUGCUUUCGUUUGACUGUGGCGGUGAGUAAUAAUGCAGAUGGCUCCAUGUAGGACCAAGGAUACUUUAACAAGCAUAUUCUAUGGCCUUUUUCAGUUCCUACACAGCGUUCCCUGGGAACACUAAAUGGGGCAAAAUCUUUAAGAAACACAACAACAAGUUUUUCACCAAGCAACUAUUUCUGAAAAUUAUGGGAGUUAAAAACUGUACUAAGACACAGCAUUCAUUAGCUAAUUCCUAAAUAGUCUGUCCAACAUCCAACUUUUAAUUUCAGCAGCAGCUGUCUUAAUUUGCUUUUUGUCCUACGAUUUAACUAAAUGUUCAUAUCAGUUUAUUCCUCUGAGUUUCAGUGACAAACAAAAACAUGCCCUCGACGAAUUCAGGGAUGCACGGCUGUAGUUGGUGGGGUCAUGGGAAAAGUUUGGGACCAGAAGACCAAGUUAUGCAGCGGAAAAGGUUGAAACAGCCUGAAUUAGUGUCAUUAUCAAUAGAGGGAGAGGAAAAUAAGCACGAUAUUUACGUCUGUAUUAAAACUAUUUCCUGUUUGUUGUAUCAUAGUUUGCUAACAAUCAUAACAACGUUUUCUUCUCUCAAAAACAUAGAAAACUUGGCAUGUUUGAGCAUUUAAAUCCAGCUUCAACAGAGUCCAAAUGUAGUUCUUUUCAACAGCACCUUACAUGAACGAGCAAAUACAUAUAAUAUGCUUAAAGUUAUACAUAUUUACACACAAAGACUUGAGUAAAAAAAGAAAAACCCCCAACAUAUUCUGGUGAUUUCAUUUCUACGGUAUGGUCGAGAUUCUUACAGGGAUUGAAGCUUUAGGUUUAUUAAACAGAAACUCUGCCCUUGACUUGGAUUCCCUCUGUACAUUUAUACAGUCCAGUACGUCCAGAUGUUGCAGUGCUGUGAAAAGUCUGUUCUCCAUCAGCGGCACGUCAUCUUUUAAUACAGUAUUCAGGGGCUGGGCCCCUUGUUUCUGUUCUCCUGCUUGGAUCAAAGCUUUAUAUUACCCCACCCCCCCAAAUUCAGACCAUUGAUGAGCUAAAUCUAUAAAUUCAGCAGCUCGUGCACUCUCCACAGUAGCUGUUAACAGAGAGACGUUGCUCUGGUUGGUAUGCAUGUGUGUAAACUCUCCUGUCAUGGAGCCAAAGUAAACACCGAGUGACAGCGUCCAGAUGGUAAUAUGUAUUCUGGUGGUCAGGAAGUGACUGAGAAAAAGAACAAGAACUGCCAGAAAGCCACCAGGGUCACAGAGAGCCUCUCCCGAGGCAACAUCAAACACAACCCAAAAUUUCCACUUGCGCCACACAGGCCACGACCUGUGCUCAGUCAUAUUGCAUUACUGGACAUUGCAGACUGAGCUACACCGAGAUGUUACACCGAAACUUAAAUUAGGUCAUCUGCCUAUAAAUAACAGCGGAUGAAAGUGGUGAGGGGAUGUCUCAUGCUUCCAAAAGAGGGAGCGGUAAUUUACAGUGGAGCAUUUGUUUGAGAGCGCUGUCAGACUUUGUCUCGCUGCUCUCAUGUCUGGAUCGAGUAGGUACACAGCCAUGCUUUUUAUUUUUUUCUUUAAUUACAUUCUUUUGCUUCCUCGGAGUUCAGCUGUCAUGUCAAACGUUUGUCUUUGUUUAAAUUGCAACCACCUGUCUGCCUUUUCUUUCUGCCUGUCUCCUGUCCUCCCUCUCUCUUCUCUUUUUACCUCCCUUGCUUGCUCUAAAACUAUUUUCUUAAGAGUCCAGGAUAAAAUAGGUGAUGCAAGUAGCAAGACUGGGAAUGUGGCAGGUUGAAGCUGUUUGUGAAGGAGUACCUCAGCCUCCUUGUCAGCUCCAAUCUUCUUCUUUUUUUUUUUCAGCCUGUUUGGACCGCUGGUUUCUGAUAAGCAUAUACAGUUGUAAUCUUAAGAAUUAAGCCAAAGUAAUGACAUCAUGGGAGUAAUUCUCUCACAGAGAUCCUGCAGAGACACGUAAUGCAUGUUAGGCAAUUGUUUCCAUGUGCUUUAUACCCCUCAUGGAGACAUCGCACAGAGAUGCAGAUCUUCAUGGGUAAAUCUGGAGCGGCGCCCACGUUAAGGCCCCUGUGCGCUGAAGAAAAAGAUGAUUAUCACUUGUGUUUACUUUCACCAGCUGGGAACACCAACGGCUCAUGAAGGGGAGGAUGUUCCUAACCAAAAAUGGCAGUGAACGGAGCGAGUCGAGUCACUUGUGCUCUCAAAUGAAUCUCGUGGGUUCACUGAAGUAGCAGCUUUUUAAUCUGCCCUGUAGCCAUUUUUUUUUUAUCAUAUUUUUUUGUUUUUUCUUACAGCUGUCUCUGUUUCAAAUGCAUUUGAGGCUACAGCUUCUCAUAUUGCUGCUCUCAUAUCGUUUCCGCUUCCCCUCUCUCUUCAAUCUCAGCCUUCUUUCAUCACUGUGCUCAUAUAGGCCUCUGAGUGUCCACUAACACAACAGGUGUGAGUUUACUGGAAAGAGCUGCUGGUUUGUGAGCUAAAAUUGCUUUUGGUCAGUAUUUCCUGAGGUCUCUCCCUAAAUAUAGAUUCACAUAACCCCAUCAUACAUAACAGGAUUACUGAUCUCCAUCUCUGGCUGACUCUGGGGAUUCAGCCCACAGGCGAGUUUUAACACCGGUGGAGAAAGCAGUGCUCAUCGUCAAAAUCCUAACUUUUGGAUUUUGUAGUGAUCAAAACAUUUAUUUGGAGCUGUAGCCAAGAUAAAUGCCUUUUAACUGUGGGCAUCCAUUGAAAUAGAAAACGACUAUGUAGUUUUUUGUUGUUAUUCUUCAUUUUCUUAUGUGUUUUGUUAAUUAGGCUUUUGGAGUCUGAAUUAUUGAAAAGUUUAAAAAAAAAAAAUUGAUUUUGACCAACAUGGAACAAAAACGCUACAACCUCCAAGUACAAGGCACCAUGUAAUCCCAUUUAGAAAUAAUCCUCAUCAAAGUAACAGUGACUGUUUUUCUUACUCACAGGCUAUAUGUUCAAAAAUAUUGCGUCACCUACACGUUACACCUACAGGAAACCCAUGCGAUGAAGCUCCAAGUGCACGAUUUUUGUGCUGAUGGUAAUGCUAUAGGAGGUAUGAACGUCUGCAGUUGUGCAGUCAGCAGAGCAUCUCCUAAGCACCAUGUUCAGCCCCGCUCAGCAACUUACGUGGCUUGCUGUGUUUCCUAAAUGCUUCCACUUAGGAAUAAUGCUUAAAGUUGAAGACAUUAAAGUAGUCACCGUGUUAUGAUCAAAUUCACUGAGCUGAGCAUGGCUGGGUAGUUUAUUUUAUACACCUGUGAGAAUGGAAAUGAAAACAUCUGAAGUUAUACUAAAAGUUGACAGGAAGUCACCGCUUUAAAGAGACUACAGCAAAAAUGACAGAUUUUUCACCCAUAAGGAAAAAGUUCACAUGCCGUUUAGGAUAUCUGUUUUGAAACUUUGCUUUUGACUGUAUGAUUAGGUUAGGUUUUGGAAGAAAAAGUUAGCUAGUUCUAAAAAAACAAAAUAGUUAAUAUAAUCCUUUUUAAAAUAUAAAUUACAUACUAGAAAGCAACUUCUACCAACUGAAAUUGGUGGAAGAGUGGCAGCGAGGUUUCCUGCCCAAGCAUUAGUAAGCUGGGUGCUACACCACUUUUCUGAAGUUGUAGAUAGGUAUUCCAUAAAUGAAUGAAAAAACAUUUUAUGAUAGCACUGACUGAAGCUUCAGAAUAACAGUCUAAGCUUGCUGGUAGCAAAAACAAGCUUUUACUUUGACACAGAUCAUUGCUAAGUGGGAUUAGCCUCCUUGACGGUUGUUGGUUUCUUGCUCCAUAUUAGAAAGUACAAACAUUUUGGUCAAAAAUUAUUUAGGUAAAAAAAAACAUUUAGGUCCCCCAAAUUAGAAGAUAUAAAUAGGUUUGAAAAAUACCUGAAUUUUCCUUUAAAAAUAAGACAAUAGGAGCCACUGGUUAGCAUAGCCUAGCUUAGCGUUCUGAAAAAACAAAAACAGAUAGAAACAGAUAGUUGGACUCUCUAGUUUACCUGCACUUUGAAAACUUACUUAUUAGAAUGCUAUUUGCACUCUCACAUACACAAACCACAAAAACAAUAAUUUUAUACUAUUAGACUAGGGCCUGGUGACUUAAGGGCAGCGAUAUAAAGAGUCACUUAGUGAGGUCUGAGAUAUGAAAGACCAUCUGUUAUCAUAUUUGUACUAAACUGACAACAACACCCAGUCACUUAUUUACAGUAUUUAUCUUCUUAUCCAGCUUUGACCUACAAAAUACAUGAACAUAUUUAACAUAUUUUCAGAAACAGAGAAUGUGAACUGUCCCAUUUAAUUUGUGCUAAAUUUACAACAUCAUUAUUGGUAUCUGUGAGGAUUCCCUUGUUAGUACUUCGUGUCAACAGGAAAUACCUAAUUUCUUCCAGGAAAUUAUCAUUUUCAUCACCGAUGACCCCAUAAAGAUAAGAGUUUUUCCAUUUUCUUGUCUUCCAAGUCCACCUCCAGUCAGUCAUUCACAUGUCCAAAUGACUAGUUGGUAUUUUUUUUUGUAUUUGCAAGUUAUUUUUGUUUCUUCUCUCAUCUUUUAUCUCUCUCUGUGCUGUUGAGGAUGACGAGCUGCCUGAUGCUGUAAGCUGAUCCAAAGUUGUCGUACUUUCUUCUCAACAGCUGCACUGUUCUAACAGACAUUUCAUAAUGCUGCGCUCAUCACUCCAGCAUCGGCACUGUCUGUUCGUCCUGUAACGUGAGGAGGUUCACACAGACAUUAUGCCACUCACUCACUCACCCUGGAGAUGGUCAGGGGCUGGUUGAAGUCCUUUCCUCCUGUCAGACGAAAGCCCCAGGGGGCCGGCCCAUCCAGCACCACGUUAAGUGGCAUGACCCUUUAAAGUCUCCCUGCUGUUUUAACAGCAGCACAGACAGUAAACUGCACACUGUGGGGAUCACAGUUAAAGAGCAGUGGAAUAUCAAAGUGAUGGAGAUUUUGAACCAAGUGAGGGGGUCAGGGGGAGGAGGAUGGACAGCUCCCGCCCCGUGAGUGAGUACUAUUCCUCCUCUCCGAAUAGAAGCCAGUGUUUGUCACGAGGAUGAGGCUGAAGAUGUAAACCAGCUUCUGUCAGGAGCCAGCCCCCACUAAUGCUUCUCAUCCCCAGGCAGCUCGAGGUCUGGCUGGCCUCCUCUUACUCUGGUUGAUGGGUCUUGCUGCUCCUGUCCUUAUUUGGUCUGAAGGCAAAGCUUCUCUCUGAGGCCUUGGAGGUCUCACAGGCACAUUCCAGUCACUAUUGAUUUGGAAGGGACCCAGGACUUUCACUCCUAGCCGAGCUUGAUAACAAUCCAGCUCUGACUUGAAGUUUUUUUUUAAUGUGUUUACAGCAGAAACCGGGCUUUGUCUACUCUAUCAAACCAAACCAUUUCUCAUCUCUUUAAAGACUUCUUCUAGUCCAAAAUCUGAAUUCGCUCUUUGUGAUCUCAGGAUUUUAUUUUUCAGCCAAUACAGAAUAUUUUCUUUGCUUCC